UUAAAUUGAAGAGUUUGAUCAUGGCUCAGAUUGAACGCUGGCGGCAGGCCUAACACAUGCAAGUCGAACGGUAACAGGAAGAAGCUUGCUUCUUCGCUGACGAGUGGCGGACGGGUGAGUAAUGUCUGGGAAACUGCCUGAUGGAG
rnacentral:rRNA from 1 species